rnacentral:lncRNA from 1 species
AGACUCGACGCCUUCCGCGUCUUCAAACUCCAUGGCCGCCAAGUCGUUCGCGCCCUUGACAACCUUGUGAACCCAGCGCGCGUUGGCCAGCUCUGCGAGGUGGUUGUGAAACGACGUGUCCGCGUAGAGCGGGAAAGAAGGCGACGUCAAGCUCGUGUACUUGAGAUCGCCGUCGACGUAGAACUCAAUCGCGCCCGCGUCGUUCACGAUCACUUGGAAAGUCUCACCCGCGACGAAGACGCCGGCAUCGAACUUGUUCACGCCCUUCUCUUGGAAUCGGACCUGAUUGCCGUUGCAGAACACGGCGUAGUCGAUGGUCGUUUGGCUGUGGCCCGAGGGCGUGCUCGACAAGCCAAACUGCAAGUGCCUGUUGUCGGUGCGCAUGCAGUCGCCGGAAAUGCCGCGAAUCUCGUCGCCGACUUUCGUGAUGGCGCGCGCGCUGUACGCGCCUCUUGCCCAGUUGUUCCCGCCUUGAGUACGUUUGAGGUAGCCCUGUUUGCCGUCCGUCGUCAUGCCCUGCGAAAGUCCGACCCACUCGAUGAGAUCCAAGUCGUUCGCACCCUCGUGGACAGUCUGUAUCCAGGAGACUCGAGAGAAAGACGCGCCUGCAGUGUUGAAGCGCGCGGUGGCGUAGAGCGGGAAGGCAGGCGCCUCAUCAGACGUCGCAAACGCCGCGCCAUCCUUGUAGUACGUGACGACGCCCGAGUCGAGCACGACCACUUGGAACGUCUCACCGACGAAGUAAUCGCCAAAGUCGCCGUCGCGCACGACGCCGUGUUCGGAGAUGCGGAUCACGCCGUUGUCGCACACAAUGCCGAAGUCGACCACCUCGUCGACGGAGUUCGUCGAGCCAGAGUUCAAGCCAAUCAUCAUGGACUUGUCCGUUUGGUCGCAAUCCGCGGAGACGCCACGCACUUCGUCGCCGAUCUUCGUGAUGGCACGUUUGCUCGUGGCGCCGACGUUCCAGCCACUGCCUGCCAUUGUGCGCGUCACUUGGCCCGCGGAAGACUCGACGCCUUCCGCGUCUUCAAACUCCAUGGCCGCCAAGUCGUUCGCGCCCUUGACAACCUUGUGAACCCAGCGCGCGUUGGCCAGCUCUGCGAGGUGGUUGUGAAACGACGUGUCCGCGUAGAGCGGGAAAGAAGGCGACGUCAAGCUCGUGUACUUGAGAUCGCCGUCGACGUAGAACUCAAUCGCGCCCGCGUCGUUCACGAUCACUUGGAAAGUCUCACCCGCGACGAAGACGCCGGCAUCGAACUUGUUCACGCCCUUCUCUUGGAAUCGGACCUGAUUGCCGUUGCAGAACACGGCGUAGUCGAUGGUCGUUUGGCUGUGGCCCGAGGGCGUGCUCGACAAGCCAAACUGCAAGUGCCUGUUGUCGGUGCGCAUGCAGUCGCCGGAAAUGCCGCGAACCUCGUCGCCGACUUUCGUGAUGGCGCGCGCGCUGUACGCACCUCUUGCCCAGUUGUUCCCGCCUUGAGUACGUUUGAGGUAGCCCUGUUUGCCGUCCGUCGUCAUGCCCUGCGAAAGUCCGACCCACUCGAUGAGAUCGAGAUCCCGUGAACCUUUAUGAACAACUUUUAUCCACUUCACAUUUUCGAGGUGUCCUCCACCUUCAUCAACGUAUCCAUCGGCAAACAAUGGGAAGAUCGGUUCUCUGCUACUAUUGUAGACAGAAUGUCCUUCUUUAUAAUAGUGAACGAUACCCUCGUCAUUAAAUGCGACCUGGAACGUUUCUCCCGCGAGGUAUGUUCCGAUCGUGGCCAUAAGCUCACCGUCUUCGUAAACUUCCAUUGUUCCGGCAUUGCAACCAACGGCAUACUCAAUAGCAUCGCCAUCCGAGGGUGUGUAAUGAGCGCUGCUCAAACCGAAUAUCAUUUUCGUUGUUGUGUCACUGCAAUCCGCAGAAAUACCGCGAACUUCGUCAUAAAUUUUAGUUACGGCGCGUUUACUUGUCGAGCGCACAAUGUCCAUUUUUUCAGGUGUAACCGGCAAGUACACGUCGCCGUGUGACACUUCACAUCGCUGGACUGUUUCAAAGUCCAUCAUGUUUAGCCAAUGCAUGUGGCUUAGCUUCGCACCUUCGGUGAAGAUUCGAGCCUGGGAGUAAAGAGGGAAUUCAACACUUUUAGUGCUGACAUGAAGAACAUUACCAUUUUGCAGAUACUCGAUGACACCAUGCUCGUUGAUGACGAUAGAAAAUGUCUCUCCAGGGCUGUACGCCGAAGGAGGCUCGACAAUGCGCUCGUGCCUUUGGAAGGCUGACGCAUUGUGUUGGUCAUUUAUGUAUUCGGGUGAAUCACUAUCCAAUGAAUCAAGUGCCAAGUCUGGCGAAGUACCAAGAUGUGUUGAAGGCGGUGGACCUUGAGCAUCGUUCUCCGGGGUCGGGACUUGAAGUUGGCCUUCAAUCCCAUGUGGUGUAUUCGGCUCGGGACGUCGAUGUGGCUCGAUUGUUUUGAUGACAACUCCAUCUUCAAGGAGACGCAACGUUCCGGCAUCACAGUAUAUCGCAAAGGACAGGUUCGUCUGCGCCGGAGCAGUAGCGGUUUCAUUCGCAGCGGUUUCAUUCAACUGAGCAUCUUGAUCACCUUGCACCAUGAGUCCAAACAUCAUCUGUGACUUGUUGUCGGAACAAUCGGCAGACACGCCUUUUUUGGUGUCAUUCCAACCGCGAAUUGAUGAACGACUCGUUGCGAAAGCAAGUAAUGAAGCUUCUUCGAUGCGUUUUGCCGCCUCUUCACUCAACACGUGAGCGAGAGAUCCAGGUGUAAGAGUCGCAUUCUCAGGUAGAAGGAACUCAACAGGCUCAAGGUCAUCGGCACCUUCAAUGAUUCGGUAAACCCAGCGCGCGUUGGCCAGCUCUGCGAGGUGGUUGUGAAACGACGUGUCGGCGUAGAGCGGGAAAGAAGGCGACGUCAAGCUCGUGUACUUGAGAUCGCCGUCGACGUAGAACUCAAUCGCGCCCGCG